rnacentral:rRNA from 1 species
UACAGAGGUCUCAAGCGUUGUUCGGAUUCAUUGGGCGUAAAGGGUGCGUAGGCGGCGCGGUAAGUCGGGUGUGAAAUCUUGGAGCUUAACUCCGAAAUUGCAUUCGAUACUGCCGUGCUUGAGGACUGGAGAGGAGACUGGAAUUUACGGUGUAGCGGUGAAAUGCGUAGAUAUCGUAAGGAAGACCAGUGGCGAAGGCGGGUCUCUGGACAGUUCCUGACGCUGAGGCACGAAGGUCAGGGGAGCAAACGGG